rnacentral:rRNA from 1 species
UACGGGGGGGGGCAAGCGUUGUUCGGAAUUACUGGGCGUAAAGGGCUCGUAGGCGGCCAACUAAGUCCGACGUGAAAUCCCCAGCUUAACCUGGGAACUGCGUCGGAUACUGGAUGGCUUGAAUUCGGGAGAGGGAUGCAGAAUUCCAGGUGUAGCGGUGAAAUGCGCAGAUAUCAGGAGGAACACCGGUGGCGAAGGCGGGUCUCUGGGCCGAUACUGACGCUGAGGAGCGAAAGCGUGGGGAGCAAACAGG